rnacentral:rRNA from 1 species
AUUGAACGCUGGCGGCAGGCCUAACACAUGCAAGUCGAGCGAGCGGCGGACGGGUGAGUAAUGUAUGGGGACUGCCCGAUAGAGGGGGAUAACUACUGGGAACGGUGGCUAAUACCGCAUACUAUCGGAUAACCAAUAUGGGAUUAGCUAGUAGGUGGGGGAAAGGCUCACCUAGUCGACGAUCUCUAGCUGGUCGGAGAGGAGGAACGCGCACACUGGGCCGGAGACAGGGCCCAGACUCCAACGGAGGCAGCAGUGGGGAAUAUUGCCCAAUAGGCGCAAGCCUGCUGCAGCCAGGCCGCGUGUAUGAAGAAGGCCUUAGGGUUGUAAAGUACUUUCAGCGGGGAGGCGUUACCCGCAGAGGAAGCACCGGCUAACUCCGUGCCAGCAGCCGCGGUAAUUC